rnacentral:rRNA from 1 species
GGCUCAGGACGAACGCUGGCGGCGCGCUUAACACAUGCAAGUCGAGCGAGAACCGGGACUUCGGUCCCGGGGACAGCGGCGAACGGGUGAGUAACACGUGGGUAAUCUGCCCUCGGUUCUGGGAUAGCCCGGGGAAACCCGGAUUAAUACCGGAUAGCCUCUCUGGCCCUCGGGCCGGCGAGAAAAGGUAGCUUCGGCCUCCGACUGAGGAUGAGCCCGCGGCGGAUUAGCUUGUUGGCGGGGUAACGGCCCACCAAGGCGACGAUCCGUAGCUGGUCUGAGAGGACGAUCAGCCACACUGGGACUGAGACACGGCCCAGACUCCUACGGGAGGCAGCAGUGGGGAAUCUUGCGCAAUGGGCGAAAGCCUGACGCAGCGACGCCGCGUGGGGGAAGAAGGCCUUCGGGUUGUAAACCUCUUUCAGGGGGGACGAAGCCACUCGGGUGAACAGCCCAGAGGGUGACGGUACCUUCAGAAGAAGCCCCGGCUAACUACGUGCCAGCAGCCGCGGUAAUACGUAGGGGGCAAGCGUUGUCCGGAUUUAUUGGGCGUAAAGAGCGUGUAGGCGGCCAGGUAGGUCGGUUGUGAAAACUAGAGGCUCAACCUCUAGACGUCGACCGAAACCAUCUGGCUAGAGUCCGGAAGAGGAGAGUGGAAUUCCUGGUGUAGCGGUGAAAUGCGCAGAUAUCAGGAAGAACACCCGUGGCGAAAGCGGCUCUCUGGGACGGUACUGACGCUGAGACGCGAAAGCGUGGGGAGCGAACAGGAUUAGAUACCCUGGUAGUCCACGCCGUAAACGAUGGGUGCUAGGUGUGGGAGGUGUCGACUCCUCCCGUGCCGCAGCUAACGCAUUAAGCACCCCGCCUGGGGAG